rnacentral:rRNA from 1 species
UACUCCUACGGGAGGCAGCAGUGGGGAAUAUUGCACAAUGGGCGGAAGCCUGAUGCAGCGACGCCGCGUGAGGGAUGACGGCCUUCGGGUUGUAAACCUCUUUCGACAGGGACGAAGCGCAAGUGACGGUACCUGUAGAAGAAGCACCGGCCAACUACGUGCCAGCAGCCGCGGUAAUACGUAGGGUGCGAGCGUUGUCCGGAAUUACUGGGCGUAAAGAGCUUGUAGGCGGUUCGUCGCGUCGAUCGUGAAAACUUGCAGCUCAACUGCGAGCUUGCGGUCGAUACGGGCGGACUAGAGUACUGCAGGGGAGACUGGAAUUCCUGGUGUAGCGGUGAAAUGCGCAGAUAUCAGGAGGAACACCGGUGGCGAAGGCGGGUCUCUGGGCAGUAACUGACGCUGAGAAAGCGAAAAGCAUGCCCUC